AUUGAACGCUGGCGGCAGGCCUAACACAUGCAAGUCGAGCGGAUGAAGGGAGCUUGCUCCUGGAUUCAGCGGCGGACGGGUGAGUAAUGCCUAGGAAUCUGCCUGGUAAUGGGGGAUAACGUCCGGAAACGGGCGCUAAUACCGCAUACGUCCUGAGGGAGAAAGGGGGGGAUCUUCGGACCUCACGCUAUCAGAUGAGCCUAGGUCGGAUUAGCUAGUUGGUGGGGUAAAGGCCUACCAAGGCGACGAUCCGUAACUGGUCUGAGAGGAUGAUCAGUCACACUGGAACUGAGACACGGUCCAGACUCCUACGGGAGGCAGCAGUGGGGAAUAUUGGACAAUGGGCGAAAGCCUGAUCCAGCCAUGCCGCGUGUGUGAAGAAGGUCUUCGGAUUGUAAAGCACUUUAAGUUGGGAGGAAGGGCAGUAAGUUAAUACCUUGCUGUUUUGACGUUACCAACAGAAUAAGCACCGGCUAACUUCGUG
rnacentral:rRNA from 1 species